AUUGAACGCUGGCGGCAUGCCUUACACAUGCAAGUCGAACGGUAACGCGGGGCAACCUGGCGACGAGUGGCGAACGGGUGAGUAAUGUAUCGGAACGUGCCCAGUAGUGGGGGAUAGCCCGGCGAAAGCCGGAUUAAUACCGCAUGAGACCUGAGGGUGAAAGCGGGGGAUCGCAAGACCUCGCGCUAUUGGAGCGGCCGAUAUCAGAUUAGGUAGUUGGUGGGGUAAAGGCCUACCAAGCCGACGAUCUGUAGCUGGUCUGAGAGGAUGAUCAGCCACACUGGAACUGAGACACGGUCCAGACUCCUACGGGAGGCAGCAGUGGGGAAUAUUGGGCAAUGGGCGCAAGCCUGACCCAGCCAUGCCGCGUGAGUGAUGAAGGUCUUCGGAUCGUAAAGCUCUGUGGGGAGGGACGAACCCCCUCGGUGCUAACACCACCGAGGCUUGACGGUACCUCCUUAGCAAGCACCGGCUAACUCUGUGCCAGCCGCCGCAGUAAUAC
rnacentral:rRNA from 1 species